UUCAGCACCUGAAACUGCUCACCCCAGCAGACCCCAGCCCCGAGCGGGGAGGCUAUCAGCUUCCCAGGGCUGCCAUGGGCUCCAGGCUUCUCUGCUGUGUGGCCCUUUGUCUCCUGGGAGCCGGCCCCGUGGAGUCUGAGGUCAUCCAAACUCCAAGACACAUGAUCAAAGCAAGAGGACAGACAGUGACCCUGAGAUGUUCCCUUAUCUCUGGACACCUAUCUGUGUACUGGUACCAACAGGCCCUGGGCCAGGGUCCCCGGUUUCUCAUUCAGUAUUACAAUAGGGAAGAGAGAGACAAAGGAGACAUCCCGGCAAGAUUCUCAGUGCAGCAGUUCAGUAACUACAGCUCCCAGCUGGAGAUGAACUCCCUGGAGCCAGGAGACUCAGCCCUAUAUCUCUGUGCCAGCAGCUUGGCACAGCCCUGCACGAUCGGCAGGCUUCUGCACAAAAACCUUCCACCCCUCCAGCUCAGGAAGUGAUGGCGAGGGUGGCGG